AAAUUGAAGAGUUUGAUCAUGGCUCAGAUUGAACGCUGGCGGCAGGCCUAACACAUGCAAGUCGAGCGGUAGCACAGAGAGCUUGCUCUCGGGUGACGAGCGGCGGACGGGUGAGUAAUGUCUGGGAAACUGCCUGAUGGAGGGGGAUAACUACUGGAAACGGUAGCUAAUACCGCAUAACGUCGCAAGACCAAAGUGGGGGACCUUCGGGCCUCAUGCCAUCAGAUGUGCCCAGAUGGGAUUAGCUAGUAGGUGGGGUAAUGGCUCACCUAGGCGACGAUCCCUAGCUGGUCUGAGAGGAUGACCAGCCACACUGGAACUGAGACACGGUCCAGACUCCUACGGGAGGCAGCAGUGGGGAAUAUUGCACAAUGGGCGCAAGCCUGAUGCAGCCAUGCCGCGUGUAUGAAGAAGGCCUUCGGGUUGUAAAGUACUUUCAGCGAGGAGGAAGGCGUUAAGGUUAAUAACCUUGGCGAUUGACGUUACUCGCAGAAGAAGCACCGGCUAACUCCGUGCCAGCAGCCGCGGUAAUACGGAGGGUGCAAGCGUUAAUCGGAAUUACUGGGCGUAAAGCGCACGCAGGCGGUCUGUCAAGUCGGAUGUGAAAUCCCCGGGCUCAACCUGGGAACUGCAUUCGAAACUGGCAGGCUAGAGUCUUGUAGAGGGGGGUAGAAUUCCAGGUGUAGCGGUGAAAUGCGUAGAGAUCUGGAGGAAUACCGGUGGCGAAGGCGGCCCCCUGGACAAAGACUGACGCUCAGGUGCGAAAGCGUGGGGAGCAAACAGGAUUAGAUACCCUGGUAGUCCACGCCGUAAACGAUGUCGACUUGGAGGUUGUGCCCUUGAGGCGUGGCUUCCGGAGCUAACGCGUUAAGUCGACCGCCUGGGGAGUACGGCCGCAAGGUUAAAACUCAAAUGAAUUGACGGGGGCCCGCACAAGCGGUGGAGCAUGUGGUUUAAUUCGAUGCAACGCGAAGAACCUUACCUACUCUUGACAUCCAGAGAACUUAGCAGAGAUGCUUUGGUGCCUUCGGGAACUCUGAGACAGGUGCUGCAUGGCUGUCGUCAGCUCGUGUUGUGAAAUGUUGGGUUAAGUCCCGCAACGAGCGCAACCCUUAUCCUUUGUUGCCAGCGAUUCGGUCGGGAACUCAAAGGAGACUGCCAGUGAUAAACUGGAGGAAGGUGGGGAUGACGUCAAGUCAUCAUGGCCCUUACGAGUAGGGCUACACACGUGCUACAAUGGCAUAUACAAAGAGAAGCGACCUCGCGAGAGCAAGCGGACCUCAUAAAGUAUGUCGUAGUCCGGAUUGGAGUCUGCAACUCGACUCCAUGAAGUCGGAAUCGCUAGUAAUCGUAGAUCAGAAUGCUACGGUGAAUACGUUCCCGGGCCUUGUACACACCGCCCGUCACACCAUGGGAGUGGGUUGCAAAAGAAGUAGGUAGCUUAACCUUCGGGAGGGCGCUUACCACUUUGUGAUUCAUGACUGGGGUGAAGUCGUAACAAGGUAACCGUAGGGGAACCUGCGGUUGGAUCACCUCCUUA
rnacentral:rRNA from 3 species